rnacentral:rRNA from 1 species
ACGUAGGGGGCGAGCGUUGUCCGGAUUCAUUGGGCGUAAAGAGCUCGUAGGCGGUUCGAUAAGUCGGCGGUGAAAGUCCGGGACCUAACUCCGGAAGGUCCGUCGAUACUGUCGAACUUGAGUCUGGUAGGGGAGUGCGGAAUUCCUGGUGUAGCGGUGAAAUGCGCAGAUAUCAGGAGGAACACCGGUGGCGAAGGCGGCACUCUGGGCCAGUACUGACGCUGAGGAGCGAAAGCUAGGGGAGCAAACAG